UUUGUUUUUGCGCAUUAUCUCCUGUUCGGCCGUUCGGCCCCGUCUUCUUCCUCUAUCCCCUUCUUUCCUUUUUUUUUUUUUAAACGACAACCGAAAUUGCUUUCAAAAAUACCGUCGCUUACACCAAACUGGGAACAGAGGAAUUAUGACAGUUUCGUAAUCACCACAUCCACCAAGUCGACGGUGCUCUCCAAAACCCUAAUCCGAGAGGGUAUGGAUCAACAAGCUCCGUCGGUUGGCUUCAUCAUGGACACGAUCAUUGCCGACAAUGGUCUCCGUGACUUUAUUCUGAAGAUCCAGUCACCAAUGUGAACCAGAAUCCUUUGGAGACAGUUACAACAAAGGCAGAUACCAAAAUCACAAAAACAAAACAUGGAGAUUUCAUAACCAAAAUUAUAUUCAAAGCAGAGGAUAAACCAGCUCUGAUACCAAAUGUAAGUUUAAAAAAUUCUUUAAACUCAUCUUAAAUCAUGAUCUUCUAUGUAAACAUUUUAAUACAUCAGAUCAUGUAUGCGGAAAUAAAUUCUGAAUCGAACACAUACCUCCAGCCAUUGAAAAUGGUUGAGUUGAAAUCUGAAUAUUUGGUGCUUCUAAACCUUUAGCAAUACAAUACUGAUGGUGUAUAUCUAUCUGUUUUGUUUGGCUUAGGGACCAAAUACGUUACCCCUAUUUAUUGUUUUUUCUCCAUCAGAAAAAACUGCUAUUGGGGUGGUUAUCAUGCAGUUAACAUAACAUGGAGGAAAUGUUAGACCAUUAACAUAAUGGGAAGUUAAUAAAAACUUCCAACAUUUUAUUCUUUUACUCGUUCUAAAAAUCAUCACAAAUCAUAAAAAUCUUCAAUGACAAGGACACUUUCACUUCGAGGGGAACAUGGGAGAUGAUCAGGACACCGGGACCUGCAUUUCUUGGCUACAAACUGACAUGGCCGAGCCAAGCAGUAGCAAGACACGUGUUUGUCAUAUGGCAAAUAAGAGAGGUUGCCAACCAUGGAUAAACUUUCUAAGUAGGGAAUACAGGCAUCUAACAGAUCCACCCAUGUUCACAAGCGGUGUCUUACAGCAUUUGGAUGUAACGAAUUGCCCGGAUACAUCGAAAAAGAAAGUCAACAACUCAACUCAUCCUCAAAGUGGAUCGCACAAUGAGAGCCCAUCGUCACACGACACUAAUUCGAUUCCGGCGCCACCAUCUCUUCUCUUCGUCGAUCUGCCGUCGCCAUGGCUGCCGCCAACGCAUCCUCCAGUGCAACUGGUCUACCCACCGACACGGUUACCCCCUACAGCUCCGACAGUCCGUUGAUUAAUGUCAACGUCACCAACAUGGCAAAACUCACAGCUACAAACUAUCUAACUUGGAGCAUUAAGAUUCGUGCUCUUCUCCAAGGAUAUGAUCUCGAUGGCUUUCUCGACCCGACACAAGCUCCUGCUGUCUCAAUCAUUGCCAACAAUGUCUCCUCUCCGAAUCCGGCGUACAAGCCGUGGUUCUGUCAAGACCGCCUGGUCUUCUCUGCACUACUCGGCUCAAUCUCUGCCGAAUGCCAAGCACUUGUGGCAUCCGCCACAACCUCCGCUACUGCACGGACAACGCUUCUCCAGACAUAUGGUCGUUCAAGUCAAGGACAUGUCAAACUCAUCAAGGAUCACAUGCGCCGCUACACAAAGGGAGCAAGAUCUGUUGACGAAUACAUGAAUUUCUUCAAGGAUGGUUCUCCGAGCCUUCGACCCGAUUACAUCCACCCUAGGUCCGGGAACAGCCUUUAGAAGACCUGCGACAAGGGCCCAGAGAGCAACACCCAUUCAGCAGAUAAAUACCCCCUCCCUCCCUAUCAGCUGAUUUCGAACUAGCGACCAGAGUCCAAAGAGCAACACAUUUUUGCCACUCGGCCACCCACUGAUGGGUAACUUUUUGUAAAUGUUCUAAACACUUUUUUUUGGUAUAAUAAUUCAAUCACAUUCCAUUAAUAAAAAAAGAAAAAUCCACGGAGGCCAAAGUCUAAUAAAAACCCCGAGAGGAGAUCACAUGCAAAGGUGUUUCCUUGAGGGAAAGCAA